rnacentral:lncRNA from 1 species
GCCGGCCUUCUAUUAAAGCUUUUAUAAAGAGAGGCCUGAUGAACCUCUUCUGCAUGGCCGAUGGUUUCCCAAAAACCACCGCAUCGGCCUGUCGAACAUCCUCUAGCUGCAAUUGGGCUACUGUAAGCCCAUUUUCUUCUUCUUCUCUGAAUUCCUCGUACUCAACAAACUCUGCUUUGAAGGAUUGAGGCAGAGCGUACACCAUAUUCACCUCGGCCGGUGAUUCAUCAGCCGACUUUCCUUUGAUUCUCUGUUUCUUCUCUUCUGACUCCAUGGCCGUUUCGGCUGAAGAGUCACUCUCCAUACGGACCUCCCUAUUUUUAGGAGGCUAUCUUUCUCUCUUGAUUAUCAUCUCGAGGGAAGCUAUUUUAUCUUCUAACUCCCUCCUGGUCAUUUUCUCUUCUGACUCGGCCUCGAUUGGCCGUUCCACUCUCGACUUCAACUGGAGGGCAGGUGAUGAGCCGCCUGCCUCAUGGUCAUUUCUCAACGGACGAAAAGGGUGUGGCCGCUCAUCCGGACGUCUCCAUACAUUGAGCCUCAUCC